rnacentral:snoRNA from 1 species
ACUACACAUGAUGAUCAACAAGGGACUUAAUACUGAUGUAUGUGAUGUCACCUUAUUACUGUUCUGAUG